AGAGUUUGAUCCUGGCUCAGGAUGAACGCUGGCGGCGUGCCUAAUACAUGCAAGUCGAGCGAACGGACGAGAAGCUUGCUUCUCUGAUGUUAGCGGCGGACGGGUGAGUAACACGUGGAUAACCUACCUAUAAGACUGGGAUAACUUCGGGAAACCGGAGCUAAUACCGGAUAAUAUUUUGAACCGCAUGGUUCAAAAGUGAAAGACGGUCUUGCUGUCACUUAUAGAUGGAUCCGCGCUGCAUUAGCUAGUUGGUAAGGUAACGGCUUACCAAGGCAACGAUGCAUAGCCGACCUGAGAGGGUGAUCGGCCACACUGGAACUGAGACACGGUCCAGACUCCUACGGGAGGCAGCAGUAGGGAAUCUUCCGCAAUGGGCGAAAGCCUGACGGAGCAACGCCGCGUGAGUGAUGAAGGUCUUCGGAUCGUAAAACUCUGUUAUUAGGGAAGAACAUAUGUGUAAGUAACUGUGCACAUCUUGACGGUACCUAAUCAGAAAGCCACGGCUAACUACGUGCCAGCAGCCGCGGUAAUACGUAGGUGGCAAGCGUUAUCCGGAAUUAUUGGGCGUAAAGCGCGCGUAGGCGGUUUUUUAAGUCUGAUGUGAAAGCCCACGGCUCAACCGUGGAGGGUCAUUGGAAACUGGAAAACUUGAGUGCAGAAGAGGAAAGUGGAAUUCCAUGUGUAGCGGUGAAAUGCGCAGAGAUAUGGAGGAACACCAGUGGCGAAGGCGACUUUCUGGUCUGUAACUGACGCUGAUGUGCGAAAGCGUGGGGAUCAAACAGGAUUAGAUACCCUGGUAGUCCACGCCGUAAACGAUGAGUGCUAAGUGUUAGGGGGUUUCCGCCCCUUAGUGCUGCAGCUAACGCAUUAAGCACUCCGCCUGGGGAGUACGACCGCAAGGUUGAAACUCAAAGGAAUUGACGGGGACCCGCACAAGCGGUGGAGCAUGUGGUUUAAUUCGAAGCAACGCGAAGAACCUUACCAAAUCUUGACAUCCUUUGACAACUCUAGAGAUAGAGCCUUCCCCUUCGGGGGACAAAGUGACAGGUGGUGCAUGGUUGUCGUCAGCUCGUGUCGUGAGAUGUUGGGUUAAGUCCCGCAACGAGCGCAACCCUUAAGCUUAGUUGCCAUCAUUAAGUUGGGCACUCUAAGUUGACUGCCGGUGACAAACCGGAGGAAGGUGGGGAUGACGUCAAAUCAUCAUGCCCCUUAUGAUUUGGGCUACACACGUGCUACAAUGGACAAUACAAAGGGCAGCGAAACCGCGAGGUCAAGCAAAUCCCAUAAAGUUGUUCUCAGUUCGGAUUGUAGUCUGCAACUCGACUACAUGAAGCUGGAAUCGCUAGUAAUCGUAGAUCAGCAU
rnacentral:rRNA from 1 species